rnacentral:rRNA from 1 species
AUACGUAGGUGACAAGCGUUAUCCGGAUUUACUGGGCGUAAAGGGCGUGUAGGCGGAGAUGCAAGUCAGGAGUGAAAUCUAGGGGCUCAACCCCUAAACUGCUUUUGAAACUGUAUCCCUUGAGUAUCGGAGAGGCAGGCGGAACUCCUAGUGUAGCGGUGAAAUGCGUAGAUAUUAGGAGGAACACCAGUGGCGAAGGCGGCCUGCUGGACGACAACUGACGCUGAGGCGCGAAAGCGUGGGGAGCAAACAGGAUUAGAUACCCUGGUAGUCCACGCUGUAAACGAUGAAUACUAGGUGUGGGGGGACUGACCCCCUCCGUGCCGCAGUUAACACAAUAAGUAUUCCACCUGGGGAGUACGAUCGCAAGAUUGAAACUCAAAGGAAUUGACGGGG